UGGAAUUGAGUUUCGAACCUGAAACCCUUCGGUCCCAAGCCGAAGCCUUACCACUGGGCCAUCAUGACC